rnacentral:rRNA from 1 species
UACGAAGGGUGCAAACGUUGCUCGGAAUCAUUGGGCGUAAAGCGCACGUAGGCGGCUUGCCAAGUCGGACGUGAAAUCCCUCAGCUCAACUGAGGACGUGCAUCCGAAACUGGCGAGCUUGAGUACUGAAGAGGAUCGCGGAAUUCCCGGUGUAGAGGUGAAAUUCGUAGAUAUCAGGAGGAACACCAAUGGCGAAGGCAGCUCGCUGGGACGGUACUGACGCUGAGACGCGAAAGCGUGGGGAGCAAACAGG